UUCAUGUCCUGAUGUGCGUGGAAUUCCAUCAAACAACCUUCUAGUGUCAGUAGGUACUGUGAUAACGGGGUCCACGUAUGCAGGAAUCUCUGAAUGGGCUGCUGUGCUUAAUCUUCAAGUACCACACAAAACAACUUUUUAUGCAAUUCAGUCUUCUUACCUCAUACCUGCAAUUGAUGAGGUAUUCAAAGAACAACAGACAGCCUUACUGGAACAUUUGAAGGCAGGAAGCACAGAAAAAAAAGGAAAUACAUUUAUCUGGAGAUGGAAGAUCAGACAGGUAAUUUUUCAUGUGAAUGGUGAAUUUUUAUGUGAAAUUAUGUUAUCUUUAAAGGGUUUCUGUUAUAUCUCAAUGCUGUCCUGGAUAUUAGGCAAAGUACACCACAUACAGCUUGAUGGAUGACAAUACAGACAAAGUGGUACACUUUGAGCUGGUGCAAGUUACAGAGUCAUCAAGCUCUGUAGCAAUGGAGUCGACUGGUUUCAGGAGAGCACUCAGCAAAAUCCUAGAUGACAAUAUUGGAGUAAGUGUAGUGACAACUGAUAGAUCCCCAUCAAUUCACAAGAUAAUGCGAGUAGACUACCCAAACAUUCAUCACGAAUUUGAUGUAUGGCAUGUGGCAAAAGGAAUGAUCAAGAAAUUGACUUCGGUAUCCAGAUACAAAGACAACAGACCACUUCAGCCAUGGAUUAAGAGCGUUAGCAAUCAUCUGUGGUUUUCAUGUUCAUCUUGUGGAGGUGACCCGGAUGUAAAUCGCGUGACUGUGUUUCUGUAACUGGUUUUUAUCAAAUAAACUGUAGAAGACAGCUAAAUAUUUACUUCAAAUUUAUCAGAAGCUGAUCAAAAGGUGGAAGUCACUUCUGCACCACAUUUGUGGGGUUCAUUCCUGGACAGAAGAUGGAGAAGAAAGAAAAUGUCUGCAUAGCGAGCUUACCUGUGAAAAAAGAAAUGGCUCGAUAAAAAGUCCAGGGCAUUCAUUACACUAGAGAACCUUAUCUUAGACAAGGGUCUUCUGAAGGACCUCAGAGAGAUGGCACUUACAAAGCAUACUGGUAAGCUUGAAGUGUUCCAUUCACUGCUCCUGAAGUACUGCCCCCCAAAAAAUACACUUCCAUUACACAUCAAUGCUUGCACAUACCCAGAUGGCAGUGCUUGACCACAAUGAGAAUGUUAAUAGACAGCAGGCCAGAACCAACACUGGUAAGCUUGCUAUACAAUAUAUCAAUGAUAGUUAUGUAAUAUUUCAGUACAAAUAUAAUUUUUUUUUUUUUUUUUUGAUAGGUACACUAUGGUUCAAUGUAGUGUUUCCCAAGCACUCUAAACAGUGGGUGGCCAGAAAACUGUACGAGUCCCCAACUCAAAAUUUCAGAGACGAUCUCGUACUAUUAUUUACAAGGACUCUUCUUCACAUUUGGCAAUACAAGCUGUCCCAAAAAACAUAUCGCAGCAGACCAAACCAUCUAAGGAAGAUUCUGUAGAUUAUCUGUAGAUUCACAAAUGAACAGUUAUCAAGUCACUGGAAAAAAUGUAGUUAUAAACCAAAUUAAAAACAACUUAAAACCUAUUAUAAGUAAAUAAGGAACCAAAUGCAAUACAAUGUUUAAUAGAUCAAUUAUAAUUUAAAUAUCUCAAUUACUGAAUUUUUCCUAUAAGCUUUUUGUUAGCAUUUAGUUAUUAAACAGAUAGAUUGACUUUUGGAUACUACUGUAACAGGCAAUGUCAAACAUCACACACACACCCCUAAAGAAAACCACCAUGCAAUGUGGAACUUACUAGCGUCACUUCCUAAAGUUAACCUACACUGUUGUCGGUCUGUAAAAAAACUACUUUGAGAAUCGUGACAAAUGCUUUGCAACUGUGUUAACGAAACACAAGUUAAAGUUAAACUAAAUCUUCUGCUGUUUUCUCCAGUCUCCGAAAAAAGAUGACAACAAGCGAGUUUCUUUUUUAAUAUUUAAGCGGUGGCUUUUGAAAUGCAUGUGUUUAGUAAGGAUCGAUGUAUUUUAUUUUAUUGAAAAGCAUGAGGAAAAAAGUUUCUACCGAUGUAUCAUUCAAUUUUUCUACGUAGGCCAUAGGCCUAUAUCUAUUUCCUGGCUAGCUGUAAGCUGUUAAUAGAAUGUUUAAUUUAAAGAUUGUUUUUCUGCAAUGACGGUCGACACUUAUUUAACGUUUAAUGACCUAUGUUCGUUAUUUUCUCAACAUCAUUAUUUUGAUAGCUAUGUUGUUUGAAUCAGUGUUUUCAUAAUUGACGAAAGCUUUAUGUGCAGAUAUUUUGUAGUAGCUUGAUCCAUUGCCUUUUCUGUUUUUAUGUGCUGAUAUUUUGUAGUAACUUGUUAAGAUUGCAUCAUCGUGUUAAUGUUGUUUGUCACUAAUUACCUAUCUGUUUAUUGUUAUUCUGUUGUUUGAUCAUGUUAAUGUUAAGAUUGUUUGACCAGCGUUGUCAACGCAUCCCAAGAUAACGUUACGUCAUAACUCAUCGUGUUUAGACCAUGCUGAUGUGACGGUCUUGCUUGGGUGGUCUUUCUGCCGAGCUGCACAAUGGAGAACACGUGGAAAUAAGGGAAACAGCAUGGAGAAUUAAAUGACUUCACUUCCACAGCAUGUCUCAUUAUCUCUGCUGUUUAUUUAAAACAGUACUUUCUUUUUUUAAUCUUUUUAAAUCAUUUAAAUCUAAAUACUUUUUGUUUUAUCAUACCGAACUAGAUUUCAUUUUUAGUCAAAUAAUUUACAUGUUCCAUUUUAUUUAUUUUUAAAUUUUAACAUUAAAUCUAAAGAGAGGACCAUUUUCAUCAAUGACCAAGAGAUGGCGCCAGAGCUCUAUAUAUUCUAUCUGAAGACCAGGGCUGCGUUCCAGUUCGUUUUUUAAAUGCCCUUCCCUCGCUCACUUCCCUCAGUCUCGUUGACUCGGAUGUACGUCACUGCUUACGUUGCAUGAGUGCCCACUACUGGCGGAACCUUUGCAAUGGGCUGAACUGGAACGUCCUAAGCCCUUGAUCACUUGGAAUCCGUAAUGGAGCUGACUUAUUAUUUAUUUUUUCCCCUUACAAAAUUGUUUAAUGCAGCAUUCUAUAUGUAUAUAUGUGUGUUUUAAAUAUUUAAAACAAUAAUUAACAUAUCAAAGAGUUGUUUGUGGUGGGGUAAAUUAAACGCGAUAUGCGGUGACAUCACAAUCGUGUUGCAUUGUGGGUUAUGGAGCUGCCUGAAGUGUACAUAUGAAGUAGACCCGCUCCCUCGGUCAAAAUCGAGGGAGCAAGGUUCUGUCCAUAUAAACUUCCCUCGUCCACUUCACGAAGUGGAACGCACUAUAGAGCGUGAGGGCAACAUAUUAGGUAGUUGGUUUAUUCAUCUAUUUAGAUUAUAGUUUUUAAAAAAGAUUAUAUCACCAUCUGUAUUAUCU